GUAGUUACCUGGCAGGGCAGAUGCCAAGCGCAUGAAGGUGGUUUUCCCAGAGCGAGACACAUCAUUGCAGAUGCGCUGUCCGCUGUGAUUCUCCCAAAUGUGGGAGCCUCAGCCGCAUAAUCUGUGGUAGUGGGGGACUGCAAUUGCACUCUCCCC
ensembl:snRNA U1 U1 spliceosomal RNA